rnacentral:rRNA from 1 species
AUGCAUGUCUUCUCGAUUUUUCGAAAGCGAGACAUUUAUUUAUGCAGGUUUCUCCAUGCCAUCGGCAGCAGCCGUAAGCAUAGGGGCAGCGGUCAUGGUCGCCCGAGGAGCACAACUUCAUGGGGGCUGGUCCUGCUGCCGCCAAAGCAUAGUGGAGGAGGUCGAUGCAGGGUUGAGGAGGGGCAUGGGCUAAGAGUGGUGGAAGAAAGGAAGGAUGAUGUUUUGGGUGUGUACACAUGUAUAGCACUAGCAUUUUCAGAUGAUUGUGAAGCUUAUGGAAGAGGCAUAUCUGAAUGCUUGUUUUGUGCCUUUCUCGCUCUAAACAUGGUAACCCCUAUUCUUACAUACAAGAAGGUGCUCUUGAUUACUUCUUGGAAAAUGAUCGAUUGA